rnacentral:rRNA from 1 species
GACGAACCGUGCUAACGUUAUUCGGAUUCACUGGGCUUAAAGCGCGUGUAGGCGGGCCAGCACGUCGGUCGCUGAAAUCCCCCGGCUUAACCGGGGAACGGGCGCCGAUACGACUGGCCUGGAGGGAGGUAGGGGGAGCCGGAACUCACGGUGGAGCGGUGAAAUGCGUUGAGAUCGUGAGGAACGCCCGUGGCGAAAGCGGGCUCCUGGACCUUGCCUGACGCUGAGACGCGAAAGCCAGGGGAGCGAACGGG